CCCAGCGGUGGAUAUCUUGGCUCUUGCAUCGAUGACGAACGCAGCAAAGCGCGAUAGGUAGUGUGACAUGCGGAAAUAUGUCGUGAAUCAUCAACUUUUCGAACGCAAUUGGCGCGCUUUUGCUAAUAAUAUUAGACAUUGCGCGUGCCCGUUUGA
rnacentral:rRNA from 1 species